AGCAGCCGCGGUAAUUCCAGCUCCAAUAGCGUAUAUUAAAGUUGUUGCAGUUAAAAAGCUCGUAGUUGAAUUUCGGGAUCAGUACGUUGGUCGUGCCUCGGUAUGUACUGGUGUUACUGGUUCCUACCUUCUGACGAACCGUCAUGUCAUUAAUUUGGUGUGGCGGGGAAUCAGGACUGUUACUUUGAAAAAAUUAGAGUGUUUAAAGCAGGCUCGCGCUUGAAUACAUUAGCAUGGAAUAAUGAAAUAGGACGUUCGAUCCUAUUUUGUUGGUUUCUAGGAUUGACGUAAUGAUUAAUAGGGAUAGUUGGGGGCAUUAGUAUUCAAUUGUCAGAGGUGAAAUUCUUGGAUUUAUUGAAGACUAACUACUGCGAAAGCAUUUGCCAAGGAUGUUUUCAUUAAUCAAGAACGAAAGUUAGGGGAUCGAAGACGAUCAGAUACCGUCGUAGUCUUAACCAUAAACUAUGCCGACUAGGGAUCGGAUGAUGUUAUUUUUAAUGACUCAUUCGGCGCCUUACGG
rnacentral:rRNA from 1 species